UUGUGUAUUCCACACAGGUUGCUUGUGUCUUUCCUCCUCCUCAGGAAAGUGGCUGAAGGAGCGCACCAUCCAGUUCAGAACACCAGUUAUCUAGCGGGAAGAAACAGAAGCAUUAUGGCAGAUAAAGGUCAUCUGUCCACACACUGAGCCAGUACCCACGAGAAAAUGACACAGCUUGCUGACACGUGAACAACAGAAUGAUGUACGCACACAGCGUUAUAGGGUAAACUUGUAUGGCUCGGCUGGCCUCCCUGGAGCCACAGGGUUUAACUGGGGCAGUGAGCUGACCUGCCUGCCAUGACCGGGUGAGAUUCACUGCAGAACUUCCAUGUGCUGUGUGGAAUGCAGAGGUUACCUAUUCCACUGCCGCUAACAGUAGUACCUGCUGCCACUAGUGGAAAAAAGAAUUUGGGAGCCUUUGAUAAAGUGAGUAACCUACCUUACUGGAAAUGUUUCAGGGGCCCUGAUAAUUAGAUACAUUUUGCAGUCUUUUACAGAUCAGGAUUUAUA